AACGAACGCUGGCGGCAGGCUCAACACAUGCAAGUCGAACGGUCUCUUCGGAGGCAGUGGCAGACGGGUGAGUAACGCGUGGGAAUCUACCUAGUUCUACGGAACAACAGAGGGAAACUUCUGCUAAUACCGUAUAAGACCUGAGGGUGAAAGCGGGGGACCGCAAGGCCUCGCGCGACAAGAUGAGCCGAUGUCCGAUU
rnacentral:rRNA from 1 species